AAUUUGACACGCCUUCCAUUACAAAAAUUAAAAGAAUGAUUUGAUAGGAGUCACCCUCAAAUAGGGGUUUAAAGGCCCAUUAAGAUGGUGUUUUAGGUUGUGAUUGUGUAUAUGGCUAUUAAAGUCGCCAGGGUUAUGAUCAACGCGUUAUGCCCACUUAGGAUUUGGCACGUGGAACUGAUCGGGUAGAAAUCGAUCCGUUGGCGGAGGAGCUUCAGAUUCCAUGGUUCACGCCGGCCAGGCAUUCAAACCUGGUUUCGUCUGUUCUUUGUGGGUUUUUAUUUAUGCUCGUAAGCAACCUUGGUGUUCUUGGCGAUAUCCACUAUAAUUGAAAUAUCAAUGAUGUCUGGAAAAUAAUACAUUGGAGCACUUUUGCCGCUUCAACAACAACAAUAAUCCAAAAUGAAGGGCAACAAAUUGAAAAUUCCAGUGGCAGCUGAAACAAAGAGCAAUACAAAGUUUGAUCCGAAGGUCUACAUCUUCAGAAGCUCAUCUCUGGAUAGUGCAGAAAUGCUUAUUAUGGAAAAAUAUUGGUCUUAUUGAGGAAGCUUAUUAAAUUUGCGGUAGCGGUACUCAGCAAAGGUUUUGGUUGAAUACUUGGCAGGGUUUGGUUCAUCCACAAGCUCUGGAAGAGGUCCGAUCAUUGCCUUAUGGGGAGGUGCGCAAAACACAGCCCAUGACAUGCGGGUUCGUUCCUUGUCCACUGUACU